rfam:Dipodomys ordii contig_96217, whole genome shotgun sequence.
GGAUGUGAGAGUGAUCUGGCUGCGACAUCUGUCACCCCAUUGAUCACCAGGUUGAUUGGGCUGAUCUGGCUGGCUAGGCGGGUGUCCCCUUCCUCCAUCACCGCUCCAUGUGCGUCCCUCCCGAAGCUGCGCACUCAGUCGAAGAGGACUACCAUCCCUGAUAGAGGAGGACUGGUCUUCGGUGAAGGGUAUAUGAGUAGCUGCGCUCCCCUGCUAGAACCUCCAAACAAGCUCUCAAGAAAUGUACUCACUAUCUUGCCCAUGUAAUUGUAACUCCUCUGUACAGUAUUUUCACAAUAAAAAAGAUUAAUUUGCAAUUAAGAAUAUCAUUUGUUUU